UGAGUGAUAGCUCGUUGGUUAGGGCAUUGGUCUUCUGAUCGGAAGGUCAUGAGUUCAAAUCCCAGUACCGCCUAG